CUCUCUUCGGUUAAUUACUGUUUUUAAUUUUUCCUUCAUUCUUCUUUAGUUGUUAAUCAUUCUGUUUUAACUUGUGAUUAUAUUUGAUUAGUUUUGUUUAUUAAUGCUGUAAUUGCUACUUUUACAACUCUUCCUUGCCCUUUGUUUUGAAAACUAAUGUAACCGCCUUAGACUCAACUGUAGACCUGUUGCCUCGUCUUCUGGAUGUUGGUUAACUCAUGUUUAUUUCAUUUUUAGACAUUUUGGACUGAUUUUGGUCGUUAAUCUGUUGGUUAUUGGGUUUUCAAGACUGGUUAAUUUAAUGGACAAAUCUGGUCAAAUUUGGAAGACAACUUGAUUACUUCAAGAUGAUCACUUUGGACCCUACAAUGGAUUUUUGGUAAAGGAUUUAUAAUCUCGUCCAUACAAUGAUUAAUGAUUCAAUUUUUGGCUGAUUCUCAAUGAUACUAACUGAUUUUACCACAACUUUAGCCUUUUGAUUUCGUGUUUGUCCUGGAAAAGAUUUCGAGUUUCUCUUCCAUUUACAAUUAAGGUCUCGGAAUAAUUUGUCUCUGUUAUCUUUGAAAGUUGCCAUUAGUCCUUUGGGAAUCGUGAGUUGAAAAAGUGCUCGAAAGAUUGACAAUAUUUCAAGACUGUCCUACUCCAAAUUGGCCCAAAUCAAACAUUACUCUGAAUUAUUGAUGAAAAUUGAUGAAACUGAUUAUGAUUAUACUGUUCGAGUCUAUUAAUAGUUACCAUAAAUUGACUUAUGAUGAAUUGUUCUGCAAAUGAAGCUGGACCAUUCUGAGUUGCUUAAUUUUUCAAUCUUGAUCCAACAUCUCAUUCAUAACAUCUAUCCUUUCAUGAAGAAAGAACUUUUUUCCCUGGAAAAAUAAUCUGAUUAAACUAGCCUGUUCUAUCAUCGUCUUCGCCUUUUCACUUUUAUCACUUGAUAAUCUUCAAUUGACCAGUUCAUGUCUGUCAACACUUCUGAUAAACAACGCCUUUACUUAUGAUGUUGAUUUUUCUGCUUCCUUCUCAUCUUUUCAUCCUCAUUUUUACCACCAGCAUCAUCAUCUUUGCAAAUUCAUUGUGACAGGAAAUGAACAAGCAUAUAAGGUUUUAUGAAAUGAUAAAGGUGAAGCUUUGCGCCCAACAUUUAUUUAAAAUUGAAAAUAGUGAGUAAAGAAGGAGAAAAUUUCACAAAAAUAAAUCUCAAGAGUAGAAGAGCAAAGGAAAUAGCUAAAACUCUUAUUGAAUUAAUUUGAAGUUAUCCUUAAGAUACUUCAUCUAGUUACCUUAGCUGUCAAUUUAGGGUGAAAAGAUAAUGAGAAUGAUGAGGAUAAAGAUGGUGAUGGCGAAGGUGAUGCUGUUAAGAGAAAAGAUGUAACUGAAUAAGCCAAGAAUAAGGUAAUGAUGAUAAUGAUGCAUACAACAUGUAAAAUGUUGAUUUUGUAACUUAUAAGUGUUAUUAUAAAAAAUGUGUUGCUCAUAAUAAUAACAACUAUAAGGAAUGAACUGUGGGUGAUAAGGUUGAAGAGAGGAUCAAACAAAAGUCUGCCUCAGGUUGAAAAGAUGAAAGAUGCUUUUUCUUUCUUUCUCUCUCUUUCGAAGUGAAGUCCAUGAUGUUGGUAAAAAUAUUGCAGAUAUGAAAAGCCAGGCUUUAAAAGUUAGUACCUGAUUGGAGGUUAAACAGCAACAAAGUAAAUUGUUAAUGGUGAUUAUGGUGCAGCCAAAUGAGUAUAAGGUUCAGGUUGAAGUAAAUAACUACAUGGUCCAUUGUUUACAUGGACUAAUGCGUGACUCGCUUUCUUGUUGAACUGGACAGAUGAAAAAAAAAGAACCAACAUUCAAGAUUGUCUUUUCAUCUUUCUCAUGUACAAAGGAAAAGGAUAAGGUCAAUUGUAUAGGUAGUCAAGGGGCAGGUUGAAUAAGGCGGUUGUUUGUUUUCAUCUCAAUGAUGAUGUUAAUGAUGAUUAUAGUAUUUUGGUUCAAAUGUUGAGUAAAAACAAACUUUGAAAUGUAAACACCAAAAUUGAAAGGGAAAAAGUUGAAGGAUGGUUUUGUGAUGAGAGGAGCAGAAAAGGAUGCAAAAGCUGAUGAAAAGUCCAGUAAAAAGGAGCAUUUUAAACACACAAAUGAGACUCACACCACUAUUCUGGAUGGCAAAGUGAUGGAAAAGGGAUUGAGAAAAGGCCAAAUCUAAUGGUGUUUGCUGCAAGCUUUUCAUUCACUCGAGGUGUUUACUCAAGAGUCGAGUUUGUACAGUUGAACAGCGCAAACCAACACACAGGGAAAAAAGAUUCAAUGUAAACACAAAUUUGAAAACAGGAACCAAAGAAAAAAACAUUCAAAAUGUAAAGAAACUGGAAAAGGAACAAAAAACUCAACCAAAAUCCAACAUUCAACUCGACUUCAAACAAUCCCAUUGAUGAUGCAAAAUUGAUUUAAUCUUUACAUAAAGAUGUAUUGAUUUGAUUUCAUUUUUUAUUUGCUCUCAAAUAAUGGAAGAGCAAAAAAUGUUUAUUUUGAUGUU